AUCUAUGGCCAUGCUACCCUGAACAAGCCCAAUCCCAUCUGCUCUUGGAAGCUUAGCAGGGUCAGGCCUGGUUAGUACUUGGAUGGGAGACCACCUAGGAAGACCAAGUGCUAUAGGCG
rnacentral:rRNA from 1 species